rnacentral:lncRNA from 1 species
AUUUGGAAAGCGCUAACGUUACAGAGCUCCUUGAUCUGCAGCUCCUCCACUCGCCGCUCCUACAGACUCUAACAGAGUCCAUGCUGAGUGGGUUUAAUGCAUCGCUGCUGACAUGUGGAGCCUCCACAGAGAUGGUCCAGGCCCUAAACAACCACAGUCUUCUGAGAAAGAUCCUGAUAAAUAUUUUUAGCUGUAUGACAUCACACGAGAUGGACGACUUUUUUGUCUCCGUGUCAUUUCUUCAGGUACAUCCUUCUGUAAUGGCAUGGCCACAAACAAUCACAUUAGUCUUUACAGCAUGGUCUGCAUUUUUUUUUUUUUCCAAUUCCAGUUUUUUCCGGAUGGGAGCACAGUUGAUCUCUUCAGCCACAAUAACCAGACCUUGGAGCCUCUGAAACACCCAGUCCUUGGAAGUUUUGUGGGAGGUUUAAGCGAGGUGAGCGUACGCUCAAUAGAAGAGGCGUAUUCUCUGUAUGAAACAUGCACGGAGGCGAUGAAAACUAACUCAGACGCUGCUGCCAUCUGCUGCAGCUCAAUGUUCUCUGUGGUGCUGGAGCGGAAACUCCAUCCGGAGCAGGAGAAGUCGGAGGAGUCGGAUGUCUGCCGCAGCAGACUGCAGCUGUUCCACCUGGCAGGAGGAGCCAGCAGGACUGACCUCAGAGGAGUGAACCCACUGGUGAAGGCCCUGGACCAAAUCCAAUCUGCUGAAACAGCCGACGAUAACCUCCUACUUUUCCUCCUUAAAGAGGCUUUAACAGGAAAUAACCGAACCUUUCUAAUUUACUACAUUAAUCCAGCAGGUCUUCUGGACGAUGAAACCCCCGCUGCUUUGGAUUUGGCGCAGAAAACCAGCAGACUGGUAACUAAAAGCACCAUGGGACGCUGGAGUCCUAAAGCAGCUGAGCGGGAGAUUCGUGAGCAGAUCUUUGAUCUCCAAAGCACGAUUCUGUCACGGGGAGAGGGUGAAGUUUCCAACAUUUACAAGCUGGCUGAGCUGACUCAAAUCCUACAGGCGGUUAAAAAUCAAUCAUGGAAAAAAAGGAAAGAGGAAUCCGAGAGGAUUAAAGUCCAAAUCAAGUGCUGUAACUCCUCAAAUCAGUUGCUGUCUAGAGGUCAUCCCACUGACCACACAGAGAUCACACAAACAAUGAGACUUCUUCAGGACAAGCUGAGACAGGAAAUGGAGGAACAUAUCAAAGAUGGGAAAGGAAGCAUAGAGGAGAUCCAGGAGAGAGUGACGAGAAUGAAGCAGCUGAAGGAGACUCUCAGAGAGGAGACACUGAGGAGGGAAGCAGCAGGAGCAAAAACUCACCUUUCUGCACAAGUGUUUCGAGUGUACCGUCAGGUGUGUGAGGAGCAGAGGAAGCUUUCAGAGAGCAGGUACAGAGGUGUGCUGCUAGAAGCCGUGCAGGACGCAGUUUAUUUGUCUGCUCAAAACCAACAGUUGCAAGCUGACAACCAACACCUCCGUAAAGCCCUAGGAGAGAUAAAAGAUGCUUUAGCUGUGAGAGGAGAUCCUGUAAUUCAUGAAACUUCUCAGCAGCAAUGACUGAUGUUCUCUGUUGAAUCUGCUGGUCUGAUGACGCUGAAUAAAUAAACUCUUGAC